UACGGGGGGGGCAAGCGUUGUUCGGAAUUACUGGGCGUAAAGGGCUCGUAGGCGGCCAACUAAGUCAGACGUGAAAUCCCUCGGCUUAACCGGGGAACUGCGUCUGAUACUGGAUGGCUUGAGAUUGGGAGAGGGAUGCGGAAUUCCAGGUGUAGCGGUGAAAUGCGUAGAUAUCUGGAGGAACACCGGUGGCGAAGGCGGCAUCCUGGACCGACACUGACACUGAGGAGCGAAAGCCAGGGGAGCAAACGGG
rnacentral:rRNA from 1 species